rnacentral:rRNA from 1 species
UACAGAGACCUCAAGCGUUAUCCGGAAUCAUUGGGCGUAAAGCGUACCGAUAGGUGGUUUUGUUAGUCUUGGGUAAAAGCCAGAAGCUCAACUUCUGAGUUUGCUUAAGAUACUGCGAAACUAGAGGGGCAAAGAGGUGAUUGGAACGAAUGGUGUAGUAGUGAAAUGCGUUGAUAUCAUUCGGAACACCGAAAGCGAAGGCAGAUCACUGGGUGCCUCCUGACACUGCUAGGACGAAAGCGUGGGUAGCGAAUGGG